rnacentral:lncRNA from 1 species
UUCCCCAUCAAAUUGUUUUAUUAGGUUAAUUAAACAGCUUAAAGACAAUUCAUUUGUUCGGUACCCUUCUAGAAAAUAUUUCAAGUUUUAAAUGAACUUCCAAUACAUAAAACAAAAUUACUUUACCAUAGACAAAUUUCAGAUCAAAAUACAACACUCUGUUUCUGUUUUCUUACAAUUAUAAAAUCCAGUCAAUACAAACUACAUAAAAAAGAUAAAACACUUUCACUGAUCCUUGGUACAAGAGAACAGCACAAUUGCAGUAUGCUCCCAAAGCACAAAUCCUGUGCUCGUGAGACGGGGCGACCCCGUAGUUACCCCACAAUGAACCGAAGCAGAUAAACAAAGUGCGUGCUACUUAAUUUAAGAAAGUUAACACAGCCUCUCUGCAUGAGGAUUACUUGUAAACCAUAGAGCAACUUUGUAAGAAAGGUUACUAAUUCAAAUUUACUUCAAGUUCACUAAAAUUUCAUACCAGCAACGGAAUAGAAAAUUACUCCACGGAACAAACGAGUACACUUGGACCACAGAAUGUUUGAGACGUGACAUUUCAAUGAAAUCACAUUAGCACAAUUUCUCUGCUAGCCUACUGAAUUCGGGGAGGAUAAUUCUACAAGUUGCAACUUCCCAGUACUUGAAAUACUUUGAACUUUCUCUAGAAUGUCUUUUGUCUAACUUAUAUAUGAUUCAUUGCAAAUCUCUAGUGUUUUUUCAGCAGUAGGUCUGUCUCUAAAGAUCAGGAUACC